rnacentral:rRNA from 1 species
GACAGAGGAGGGAAGCGUUGUUGGGAAUCAUUGGGCUUAAAGCGCGCGUAGGCGGCCUUGUAAGUGUCUUGUGAAAUCCCACGGCUCACCCGUGGAACUGCAGGGCAAACUGCAAGACUUGAGGUCGGUAGAGGCGCCUGGAACUCUAUGUGGAGCGGUGAAAUGCGUAGAUAUCUAGGGGAACGCCGGAGGCGAAAGCGGGGCGAUGGGCCGAUUCUGACGCUGAUGCGCGAAAGCGUGGGGAGCAAACAGG